AAAGUCAGUCAUUAGGUCAAGUCUAGUCAUAAGAAGGUGAAAAAGCUGGCUGCCUCUCGGACUUUGUAGACAAAUUCGGACCUGCACCUCCGUUUCUCUAAUGGACCGUCAUGGCCUCUGUGGGCGAACUCUCUCGAAGGUUCAAGUACUUACCAGAAAUUCAAGUUUGACUUGACACAGAUCACCUAAAGCCUGCUUGGCAUCGGCCUGAGGUGGAAUGCAACUGCUACCAAAAUGACCCCAGAGAACUCCCGUGGAUGAAGAUGUUGAUGAUCCUGACAACCCCACACUUGCAGACGUGAAACUUUGCCUGAAGGUAUAUUAAACGUCUCACUUUAGAAGUGGAAGUGCUCAACUGUUCUGUUUAAGUUAAUUCCUGUACAUUUACCUUUAUUUUAUCUGUGCCUGUACAGUAUAUUACUUUAUUAAAAUUUCAC